GAUGAACGCUGGCGGCGUGCCUAAUACAUGCAAGUCGAGCGAACAGACGAGGAGCUUGCUCCUCUGACGUUAGCGGCGGACGGGUGAGUAACACGUGGAUAACCUACCUAUAAGACUGGGAUAACUUCGGGAAGCCGGAGCUAAUACCGGAUAAUAUAUUGAACCGCAUGGUUCAAUAGUGAAAGACGGUUUUGCUGUCACUUAUAGAUGGAUCCGCGCAGCAUUAGCUAGUUGGUAAGGUAACGGCUUACCAAGGCGACGAUGCGUAGCCGACCUGAGAGGGGGAUGGGCCAAACUGGAACUGAGAAACGGCCCAGACUCCUACGGGAGGAAGCAGUAGGGAAUCUUCCGAAAUGGGCGAAGGCCUGACGGAGAAACGCCGCGUGAGGGAUGAAGGUCUUCGGAUCGUAAAACUCUGUUAUUAGGGAAGAAAAAAUGUGUAAGUAACUAGGAACGUCUUGACGGUACCUAAUAAGAAAGCCACGGCUAACUACGU
rnacentral:rRNA from 1 species